rnacentral:Y_RNA from 1 species
GACUUGAGAGUAGUGAGUUAUCUUGAUUGGUUAUUCAUAGUCAGUUACAGAUCAAAUUCUUUGUUCUACUCUUCCCCCUUCUCACUACUAUACUGGACUAGUCUUAA